UUGCACUGUUCGUAACCUGUUGACAGUAUCUUUCUGCUGAUGGGUUCCAUUCCAGUGCUACAUAAAUCACCAAAGUAAGAGAAGGCUGGCUGGCUGGCUG
rnacentral:snoRNA from 1 species